AUCUGCAGUUUGCCAGUUCGGUGGUUUGCUCUGUGCUGUUAACAACAACAAAAACAAACAAACAAACAAACAAACAAACAAACAAACAAACAAACAAACGCUCAAGAACACACGACGGGAUUCACGCCAUUUACCGCCAAAAUCGCUUUUUGGGCAGUAUUCGGACACAUCAUCCACAAAAUCACACCAGGAGUUUGAGGCCCAUCUGUAAAGCAGCUUGCAAAAGCCUUGGAUCCAGGGGGGAGGCAGCGGAAUGUUAUUAUGAGCCUCCUGAACUUUUUCAUCAAACCAAACGCGACACCAGGAAGAGCCUGCAUGAGAAUGCCUUUCCUGAAAUUCCACAAAUAUGGAGCAAUCGGAGAUUAACAGCAGUGAACAAAUGCAACAUGUGCUGUUUGUUCCAUCUACCACUGACCAUUCUGCACUACAAACUUAUACAACCCUUACAAACUAAUAAACCUUCAAAGAAAAUUUAACUGGAAACUCGUCUUCAGCUUCACUUUUCGAGGGCAGUCAUCAUGGUGAUUUGAGGUGACGCAGUAGGUAGUGCUGUCGCCUCAGCAAGAAGGACGUGGUUCAAGUCUCGGCUGGGUCAGUUGGCGUUCCUGUGUGGAGUUUGCAUGUUCUCCCUGCGUUCUCAUGGGUUUCCUCCAGGUACUCCGGUUUCCCCCACAGUCCAAAGACAUGCGGUACAGGUGAACUGGCAGGUGUGUGUUUCAGUGGGUGAUGUCCACCAUGGUUUACCCUCGUGAUGAGGCUCUAGAGUGGAUGAUAUCGUGCUGACUACAACACUGAAGAGGUGAUGCAGUGUUUGGAGACGCUGCGAGGGGAACAUGCUCAACUUCUCAACACCAUUCUGGACUGCAGUCAACCAGGGUGAUCAUCACUUUGUUGGGAGAACCAGUUACUGCGCUAAAAGCUGGACAACACCCAACACAAACUGCAGAAGAGCAAACAGAGCAUCGCUCAGCUGGAAAAGGAGAGGAAGCACCUGGAGUUCAUGAACCAGAUUGCGCUGAUUUAUCGGGCGGAACAUCAGUUUCUAAACCAUCUGGAUAAAACCUUCAUCCACUCCCAGUGUGUCAGUCUUGGGCUGACAUUGUGGAUUCAGAUCAGUGUGUUCAGCUAGAGCCGUCAAUCUAUAGAGACGGAGGCUCAGAGUUCAAGAUCAGCACUCGGAGGGGUCAAUUCCAGUGCAGCAGGACCAGACUGCGAUGAGUCAAAUGGAGAUAUCUCUCUCCACUACCGGGCAGUGGAUGCAAAUUUCCUCAACGCAGAGCUGGAGAGGCCAUCAAACUCCUCAGGAAGACAGAUACAGACCUGUAGAGCUCAGCCGUUAUCAUGCCUCUACCUGCGCUGUCACGUCAAAUGACAUUCAAGCUCACAUUAUUAGCAUUUCACAGUGAAUAAAGCACAUGAGCUGUACCUGAGGUGAUCAUUGUCACAGUUAACCCUGCUGUUCAGCUGCGAGAAUUAGAAGCUGUUUCUAAAAUAGAAAUGUCAGGUUGGUCAGGACAAAAACUUGCGCCUGUUGAUGUGAGUCAUCAGAAGAGGGGCCGAGUGUAAGUGUUUUGAACUAGGAGUGCAAUACCUAGUUAAACCACUGGGUGUUAAACUUACUAUGUAAAGGUGCGAGUCAUAUAAUUAGAAUAUCUUCAUGAAGUGAUUUCCCUAAUUCCAUUCAAGAAGUAAGACUUGUAUAUCUGUGGCACUGCUCAGGUGUUAUGAGAGCCCAUAUGGCAUAUUGCUCCUCGCACAGUUUGAAACAUUUAGCAGUGUUUAAUUGAUAAAAAUGAGAAAUGUCUUAUUUAUAAUGCCUCUCUUUUGUUUUAGAACAUCAGUGAGUUUCCGUCAGAGCCUUUUGAAGACGUUUGGUGCAGGUUACAUUUCAAAUAAUCUGGCAAAGCCGUAUCACUGUCACACAUACUGUAAGUAAACAUAUAGUAAACAUAGUCAUCUUGCAACAUAGAUUUUCUGCAACUUAACCGGUUGAGCUCAAGUGCAUCAAUUAAGAAGCAUCUUAAAGUGGGUGGGACAUCAGAUGCUAGAGAAAGUAUAUGAUUGGUCAAGAUUUAAUGAGAAACCAGUAUGAGUUGCCAGAUUUCGGUGGAAGUGACAAACUUCUAGCUUUACAUGUUUCUAUCAGUUUUAUAUCUGAUAAACACGAAUAUUGUCACUCUUUUGAAGCACACUAGCUCAGGGGUUCCCAAACUUUUUAGCCGACGACCCCUAAAAUAACAACGUCAAUGACUCAUGAUUAGGGCCAGACAGAAUCUGCAGACAUUUUUUGCUAUUUCUGCACAAAAUUUAGUUAAAAAUCUGCAGAUUUAUGCGGAAUGAUUAUGGGAGUGUCAUAACUAAAACCUUAAUAUAUAAAAUAAGAAGUAAUACCUUUUUAACUUGUA